UCGCUACAUUCUCGCCUCCUGAGAAGAAAAAUGGAACAAAAAGGAAAAGGGUGAGCUCAACUAGCCCAGUAAAGAAUAUUAUGACUAAGAUAAUAUACAACAAAUUAUCGUUAGUCUCCAACAGGGAAAAAUCUAAUAGAAUACAAUAGACAACCAGUUUUAAAUCAACAACUGCAGCGGAAACAAAAAUUCAUUAGAAGAGUUAAGUAG
rnacentral:lncRNA from 1 species